GUGGUGCUCUAGCUGUGGCCGCUUCUCUACUGGAUUGGAAGCUCCAUGAGGUCAAGGACUGUAUGUUCCUGCCCUUCCCUAUUCUCUCUCCAAAGGCCUAACACGAUGUUGGGCACAGAGUCCUAGUUGAUGAGUACUUGCUGAGGACUUAAACCACAAUGUGAACCAUGAUCAAGACCACUUUGUGACCUCAUUGUCCUGUGAGUGACCCUGUCCAGACAACAUGCUUAAAAAUCACUGCUUUUCCUGAGGCCUGACUGAUACACCUGCCACAGUCUCAGAACAGUGAUCUCACUGCGAGCAAAAGCACUCCCUCAACAAGGGCUUUGGAAACGUGUGGCUGGCAUUUUAGGACAGAAGCCAGGGCUGCUGACUGACUUACAAAACCCUGGAGAGAACCAUCAAAACUGGUUCUGUAUCCUCUACACUUCUGGAGUGUUCCUUCAGACGCCUGGGCUGCUUUCCUGUCCUGGUCAGGAGCCUGCAGCUGGUCUCCACAAGCCGGCGUCAGUGGUGAGCCGCACAUUUGAGAGUGAGCAACAGGUGGGACGGAGGCAGCCGCUCAGCCCUCCCGUACAGAGCUGGCCCCAUCAAGGGAACAAGUGAUGCAGUCUCUGGCAUGUUGUGCCUGCUGAUGUACCCUUAGAUCUCCUCCAACUCAGGCUGACGUUCUCACCAUCAGUCACCCAGAGGUUAGGAUGCAGCUCGUACUCAAGAAUGAAGGCCACGCCCUGGUGUGCUCCAGUGUUCCCUGACCCGAACCCUGGCACAACACCUCUAUUUCUUAGAUGAACUAAAUGCCACUUGGGAUGACAGAGGAUUUAAAAAGAGGGCUCAGAAGAGAGAUAAGUGACUUAGAACUACUGAUACCUUAAGCUGGAUGCCAGGUUCUGCGACAGCGCGGAAUGGCGUGGCUUGCCAGUACGUCUGUUCUGUCUGCUUCCACAUGACCACGUAGAAGCUCGAGCUGUCUUGGUAACCAAAGAUGAAGCCAGCGUAGUCAUCGUCGGUCUGGGUGUUUACGUGGAAGGUCCCUUCAAAGUCAACUCCGUUAAAUGCUGUGUAGCCUGCAGGGAUCAGAAGAAGAUCAGAGAGGCAGACCAGCUCCAUGAGUAGCUGCAUAGAAUGGAUUCUAUCCACAUGCUGCUGAUGCCCUGGACCUACCCACUGCCAGGCCGGGAUCGCUGUUCAUGGUCUGCACAAUCUCCAUGCCCUGCAGAGAGAGUUGAAGGAGUUAAGGGCCAUCUUGGAGGGUGGAGAAAGCUCAAGGAAGCCCCCAGCCCCCGGCAGCCCUGAUGAAGAAUCUGAGACUGCAUUGAGAAGCAGGAUUAAGUUCACUUGGCUAACACGUACUUUGCAGCAAGGACACUGAGCACAAGGACAAAGAUGGGACUUUAGGGCAGCGGUCCCUGCACAAGGUUGGGCUCGAGAUCCUCUGUGAGUAGGCCACCUCAAAGAGGAAGUUCAGAAGGGGAGCCCUGCUUCUUCCUGCUGUGCCUUUCAGGGUCCUUUCCCUCUCUCAUCCCUGUCCUGCCACUCUACAAGGUCCCUGAUGAUCAAAGGGGACAGAGCCUUGGACCACAGGCACCUCCAGGGUAGAGAUGCACUUGUCUGUGUUCUUGCUGAUGUUUCUACGGCAUCUGAUCCAGCCUUGUGUCUUAAUAUAGGACUACAUUGUGUGGGGGUAGACAGGUUGACAAAACUCGUUUGCACAGAACAAUACCACCAAAGAAGGGACACGAAAUGAAAAAAUUCCAAGGACAAUGAAAUAAUAGUGAUCCCUCAGCAAACUGACAGCUUUCUAUUUUGGGAUGAUGGUGAAGCUUCCCUGAGCUGAAACACUCUUAUAAAAAUAAAAGAGCUCAUACCUACUGAGUGCUAGGUAUGUAAGGGAAGCUUCAUAAAUUAACUCAGUCUUCACAACAGACCUGGGAGCCACAUGCCAUUGUCAUGCCCAUUUUUGAGAUGAGAAAACUGAGGCACA